CCUGGAUCAUAGCAGACUCUGCCUAUAGAGGCCUGGGGUCCCUUUGGCAGCACUUUUCUCAAGAAAGUAGAGUCGUGGACAACCAACUGCACAGGUUGGGAGGUGGCACUGUCUGGUGACAAGAACCCCAUGGGGUUGGAAACUUCUGCAUGUGAUAAAAGUGGCUGUUGUGCUCGUUGCGUCAUCUUUCUUGGCCUGAAGAAAGGCUUUGAAGAACAAGCUGCCAUGAAUCCUGCAGCUACAAGGAAAUGAACUCUAUUAACUUGAGUGAGCUUAAAACUAGAUCCUUCCCCAGUCAAGCCUCCAGGUGAGAAUUCAAUCCUGGCUGGCACCUGGAUUGCAGCUUACAGAAGACCCAGCUAAGGCCAUGUCUGGACUUUAAAUCCACAGGAACUGCAAGAUGGUAUCAGAAGUGGGACCUGCAGUGGGGCAUCUAGCAACCCCCAGGAGCAUUGAGUGACCAGGCUUGGGACCCACCGGGCGCAGGGUGUCCAUUGUUCUCUCGAAGCAACUGAGAAUUGUGGAUAUUCUUCAUUAUUCCAUCAUCAUCUCAAACCUCUUGGGUAUAGUGUUUGACUACUACUGUGACCAUAAAUUCCAAUAAAACCUAGGAAAAAUGAAACCACUACAUUAACUGAAAGGGAAGGAUUUGACAGCUUCUUUUGGGCAUAUCAGAAUCGCCAGCAUCACUACUCUUGCACUGUGCGGCCAUUAUUAAGUGAAAUAAGGAUUACUUGAACACAAGCACUGCAAUGCCGCUACAGUCAAUGUGAUAACCCAGCUGGUGACUAAGUGACCAAGGACGGGGAGUAUCUACAGCGGGGAGACUCUGGAAAAAGGGAGGAUUCACAUCCAGUGCCACUGGGGCAGGGCAGAAUGAGAGUUCAUCAUGCUACAAAGAAUGGCACAGAAUAUACGACUUGUGAGUGGAUUAUCUCUGGAAUUUUCUGUUGACUACAUUUGUACUACAGUUGUAUGUGGGUAACAAACUGUGGAAAGUGAAACUUCGGGUAAGGGGGAGGCUACCGUAGAUAGCCCAGUAUUUCUUAUUUUGUGGAUUUGUUUAUCUUUCUGCUCACAUCCUUUUCCUUCUGCAUUACCAUUUUAGUAAAAAUAGAUAGCAUCCAUUUGGUGUUUAGUAUGUUUUUGGCACAGUCGAACAUUUUACAAACAUUAUAUCAUUUAAUCUGCAUAAAACCUAUACAGUAGGUACAACUAUUAUCCAGUUUUUUAGACAAGGCAAACUGGAUCACAGGGAGUUCAAAACGCCUCUUCCCUUGGUCAAGUUGGGUCAUGUAAUUGUCAAAGUUAAAACAUGCCCCUUAGGAGAUGAUUUAAAAUUCCCUAAUUUUUUAGAAGAAUCUUCAGUUUUCCCAGGAUAGAACAUUUAUUGAUAUGGUAAAUAUGUGGAAAGACCCACCAACCCCACUCCAAUCUUACAUUCUUGCCAUUAAAAAACAAACAUAAAGACUGUUCCCUAUGUUUUUUUCUUU
rnacentral:lncRNA from 1 species